UGGGGAAUAUUGGACAAUGGGGGCAACCCUGAUCCAGCCAUGCCGCGUGAGUGAUGAAGGCCUUAGGGUUGUAAAGCUCUUUCGCCGGUGAAGAUAAUGACGGUAGCCGGUAAAGAAGCCCCGGCUAACUUCGUGCCAGCAGCCGCGGUAAUACGAAGGGGGCUAGCGUUGUUCGGAAUUACUGGGCGUAAAGCGCGCGUAGGCGGAGUAUCAAGUUAGGGGUGAAAGCCCGGGGCUCAACCUCGGAACUGCCUUUAAAACUGAUACUCUAGAGUCCGGAAGAGGGUCGCGGAAUUCCCAGUGUAGAGGUGAAAUUCGUAGAUAUUGGGAAGAACACCGGUGGCGAAGGCGGCGACCUGGUCCGGUACUGACGCUGAGGCGCGAAAGCGUGGGGAGCAAACGGGAUUAGAUACCCCGGUAGUCC
rnacentral:rRNA from 1 species